CAUGUCUAAGUAUAAGCAAUCUAUACUGUGAAACUGCGAAUGGCUCAUUAAAUCAGUUAUCGUUUAUUUGAUAGUACCUUACUACAUGGAUACCUGUGGUAAUUCUAGAGCUAAUACAUGCUAAAAACCCCGACUUCGGGAGGGGUGUAUUUAUUAGAUAAAAAACCAAUGCCCCUCGGGGCUCCUUGGUGAAUCAUAAUAACUUAACGAAUCGCAUGGCCUUGCGCCGGCGAUGGUUCAUUCAAAUUUCUGCCCUAUCAACUUUCGAUGGUAGGAUAGUGGCCUACCAUGGUGGCAACGGGUAACGGGGAAUUAGGGUUCGAUUCCGGAGAGGGAGCCUGAGAAACGGCUACCACAUCCAAGGAAGGCAGCAGGCGCGCAAAUUACCCAAUCCCGACACGGGGAGGUAGUGACAAUAAAUACUGAUACGGGGCUCUUUUGGGUCUCGUAAUUGGAAUGAGUACAAUCUAAAUCCCUUAACGAGGAACAAUUGGAGGGCAAGUCUGGUGCCAGCAGCCGCGGUAAUUCCAGCUCCAAUAGCGUAUAUUAAAGUUGUUGCAGUUAAAAAGCUCGUAGUUGAACCUUGGGUCUGGCUGGCCGGUCCGCCUCACCGCGAGUACUGGUCCGGCUGGACCUUUCCUUCUGGGGAAUCCCAUGGCCUUCACUGGCUGUGGGUGGAACCAGGACUUUUACUGUGAAAAAAUUAGAGUGUUCAAAGCAGGCCUUUGCUCGAAUACAUUAGCAUGGAAUAAUAGAAUAGGACGUGCGGUUCUAUUUUGUUGGUUUCUAGGACCGCCGUAAUGAUUAAUAGGGAUAGUCGGGGGCGUCAGUAUUCAGCUGUCAGAGGUGAAAUUCUUGGAUUUGCUGAAGACUAACUACUGCGAAAGCAUUCGCCAAGGAUGUUUUCAUUAAUCAGGGAACGAAAGUUAGGGGAUCGAAGACGAUCAGAUACCGUCGUAGUCUUAACCAUAAACUAUGCCGACUAGGGAUCGGGCGGCGUUUCUAUGAUGACCCGCUCGGCACCUUACGAGAAAUCAAAGUUUUUGGGUUCUGGGGG
rnacentral:rRNA from 1 species